CUAGCCCAAGACACCAAGCUAUGCCACACCCACACGGGCCCUCAGCAGUGAUAAACAUUAAGCAAUAAGCGAACACAAACUUCAAAGCUUGACUUAGUUAUGGUUAACAGGGCCGGUAAACCUCGUGCCAGCCACCGCGGUUAUACGAGGGGCCCGAAGCAGCAGACCUCGGCGUAAAUAGUGACUAGAAUCAUUACCUACACAUUAAAAACUAAACUCUAGCCUAACCGUAAAACACAGGCUAGAUGAAACCAAACAUUUUUAACAACAGGUAAUUUGACCCACGAAAACUAAGAAACAAACUAGGAUUAGAUACCCUACUAUGCUUAGUCGUUAAUAUGAUAUUAUACCACUAAAAUAUCCGCCAGAAAACUACGAGCGAAAAGCUUAAAACUCAAAGGACUUGGCGGUGCUCCAUACCGACUUAGAGGAGCCUGUCCUAUAAUCGAUACCCCACGUUAAACCUCACCAAUCUUUGCCAAAUCAGCCUAUAUACCGCCGUCGACAGCCUACCUCGUGAGAGAAAAACAGUAAGUAUAAAAGUUCAACAACUAAAACGUCAGGUCAAGGUGUAGCUAAUAGAAUGGAAGAGAUGGGCUACAUUUUUUAAGAUAAAACACACGGCAUGGCACUAUGAAACUUCUACCUGAAGGAGGAUUUAAUAGUAAAACUAACAAGAAAGUUAAUUUUAAAU
rnacentral:rRNA from 1 species